rnacentral:rRNA from 1 species
AAAACGACUCUCGGCAACGGAUAUCUCGGCUCUCGCAUCGAUGAAGAACGUAGCGAAAUGCGAUACUUGGUGUGAAUUGCAGAAUCCCGUGAAUCAUCGAGUCUUUGAACGCAAGUUGCGCCCGACGCCNUUCGGCCGAGGGCACGUCUGCCUGGGUGUCACGC